CCCCUUCCCUCCUGGAAAAAAGGCCAAACAAGGUUGAUGGCUCUCAAGAGGUGGAUCUCUGGCCUCCACACGCACAUGCUCACAUAAGCAGAAGCCCCACUUACAUCAGUGAAGGUGUCACGGUAGGCUGCUGAUGCUUUCAUCUGACAUUUUAUUCUUUUAAUUUCUAGACCUGUUCUCUAACAGCGCCCGGCCUGCCCUCCAGUGCCCAGAUAACCACUGGAUGGAGGAGGGAACAGGUGAGCCUCCUGUGCAUCCUGGCCGAGUGUCUCUCGGAGCAAUGUGUAGCCUCGAUCCUUUCUGCCCUGAAGACUCAGGGAACCAUUUGCCCACAGCCUCAACCCCAGACCUCCUCUGUCCGGGUCCCAAGCUAAGUCCCCAGAUGUAAGCAGGACAGUAUGGGAAUGUGGCU
rnacentral:lncRNA from 1 species